CCUACGGGAGGCAGCAGUGGGGAAUUUUGGACAAUGGGCGCAAGCCUGAUCCAGCAAUGCCGCGUGAGUGAAGAAGGCCUUCGGGUUGUAAAGCUCUUUUGUCAGGGAAGAAACGGUCUACUCUAAUACAGUGGGCUAAUGACGGUACCUGAAGAAUAAGCACCGGCUAACUACGUGCCAGCAGCCGCGGUAAUACGUAGGGUGCAAGCGUUAAUCGGAAUUACUGGGCGUAAAGCGUGCGCAGGCGGUUAUAUAAGUCAGAUGUGAAAUCCCCGGGCUCAACCUGGGAACUGCAUUUGAGACUGUAUGGCUAGAGUGUGUCAGAGGGGGGUAGAAUUCCACGUGUAGCAGUGAAAUGCGUAGAUAUGUGGAGGAAUACCGAUGGCGAAGGCAGCCCCCUGGGAUAACACUGACGCUCAUGCACGAAAGCGUGGGGAGCAAACAGGAUUAGAUACCCUGGUAGUCCACGCCCUAAACGAUGUCUACUAGUUGUCGGGACUUAAUUGUCUUGGUAACGCAGCUAACGCGUGAAGUAGACCGCCUGGGGAGUACGGUCGCAAGNUUAAAACGUCAAAUGAAUUGACGG
rnacentral:rRNA from 1 species